rnacentral:rRNA from 1 species
GAUGAACGCUAGCUACAGGCUUAACACAUGCAAGUCGAGGGGCAGCAUUUCAGUUUGCUUGCAAACUGGAGAUGGCGACCGGCGCACGGGUGAGUAACACGUAUCCAACCUGCCGAUAACUCGGGGAUAGCCUUUCGAAAGAAAGAUUAAUACCCGAUGGUAUAAUCAGACCGCAUGGUCUUGUUAUUAAAGAAUUUCGGUUAUCGAUGGGGAUGCGUUCCAUUAGGCAGUUGGUGAGGUAACGGCUCACCAAACCUUCGAUGGAUAGGGGUUCUGAGAGGAAGGUCCCCCACAUUGGAACUGAGACACGGUCCAAACUCCUACGGGAGGCAGCAGUGAGGAAUAUUGGUCAAUGGGCGCAGGCCUGAACCAGCCAAGUAGCGUGAAGGAUGACUGCCCUAUGGGUUGUAAACUUCUUUUAUAUGGGAAUAAAGUUUUCCACGUGUGGAAUUUUGUAUGUACCAUAUGAAUAAGGAUCGGCUAACUCCGUGCCAGCAGCCGCGGUAAUACGGAGGAUCCGAGCGUUAUCCGGAUUUAUUGGGUUUAAAGGGAGCGUAGGUGGACAGUUAAGUCAGUUGUGAAAGUUUGCGGCUCAACCGUAAAAUUGCAGUUGAUACUGGCUGUCUUGAGUACAGUAGAGGUGGGCGGAAUUCGUGGUGUAGCGGUGAAAUGCUUAGAUAUCACGAAGAACUCCGAUUGCGAAGGCAGCUCACUGGACUGCAACUGACACUGAUGCUCGAAAGUGUGGGUAUCAAACAGGAUUAGAUACCCUGGUAGUCCACACAGUAAACGAUGAAUACUCGCUGUUUGCGAUAUACAGUAAGCGGCCAAGCGAAAGCAUUAAGUAUUCCACCUGGGGAGUACGCCGGCAACGGUGAAACUCAAAGGAAUUGGCGGGGGCCCGCACAAGCGGAGGAACAUGUGGUUUAAUUCGAUGAUACGCGAGGAACCUUACCCGGGCUUAAAUUGCAUUUGAAUAUAUUGGAAACAGUAUAGCCGUAAGGCAAAUGUGAAGGUGCUGCAUGGUUGUCGUCAGCUCGUGCCGUGAGGUGUCGGCUUAAGUGCCAUAACGAGCGCAACCCUUAUCUUUAGUUACUAACAGGUCAUGCUGAGGACUCUAGAGAGACUGCCGUCGUAAGAUGUGAGGAAGGUGGGGAUGACGUCAAAUCAGCACGGCCCUUACGUCCGGGGCUACACACGUGUUACAAUGGGGGGUACAGAAGGCAGCUACCUGGUGACAGGAUGCUAAUCCCAAAAGCCUCUCUCAGUUCGGAUCGAAGUCUGCAACCCGACUUCGUGAAGCUGGAUUCGCUAGUAAUCGCGCAUCAGCCAUGGCGCGGUGAAUACGUUCCCGGGCCU